rnacentral:rRNA from 1 species
GACGAACGCUGGCGGCGUGCUUAACACAUGCAAGUCGAACGGAAAGGCCCUGCUUGCAGGGUACUCGAGUGGCGAACGGGUGAGUAACACGUGGGUGAUCUGCCCUGCACUUCGGGAUAAGCCUGGGAAACUGGGUCUAAUACCGGAUAGGAGCCAUUUUUAGUGUGAUGGUUGGAAAGUUUUUUCGGUGUAGGAUGAGCUCGCGGCCUAUCAGCUUGUUGGUGGGGUAAUGGCCUACCAAGGCGGCGACGGGUAGCCGGCCUGAGAGGGUGGACGGCCACAUUGGGACGGAGAUACGGCCCAGACUCCUACGGGAGGCAGCAGUGGGGAAUAUUGCACAAUGGGCGCAAGCCUGAUGCAGCGACGCCGCGUGGGGGAUGACGGCCUUCGGGUUGUAAACUCCUUUCGCUAGGGACGAAGCUUUUUGUGACGGUACCUAGAUAAGAAGCACCGGCUAACUACG